GCAUUGCUAGUUCAGUGGUAGAAUUCUCACCUUCCAUGUGGGUGACCAGGGUUCAAUCCCAGCCAAUGCA
rnacentral:tRNA from 1 species